UUCAAAUGUUAUUAUUUUCCUUGAUUAUUAAUAGUUAUGAUCUUUAAAAUUAAAGAAUUYGGCGGUAUUUUAGUCUGUUCAGAGGAACCUGUUUUUUAAUUGAUAGUCCACGAUAAUUUUUACUUUAGUUUUAAAUUUGCAUAUCGUUGUUUAUAAAAAUUUUAGGAGAAUUUUAAUUUUUAGGAUUUUUUAUUAAAAUGUAUUUCAGAUCAAGGUGUAGUUUAUAUUAAAGUUAAAAUGGGUUACAUUAUAGUUAUAUUUGGUUUUAUUAUUUAAAAUUUUAAUUAAAUUGGAUUUGAUAGUAAAUUUUUUAUUUAUGAGAUUUGAUUUAGCUCUAAAAUAUGC
rnacentral:rRNA from 1 species